rnacentral:lncRNA from 1 species
CUCUUUGCAGAGAGUGAUCUGGAGAUCAGUUGUUCCGGGUAUCUUUGCAACAGCAUCGAUGAUCCCUCUGACGAUUUUCGCGGUCUUGGCCUUGGGGAUUAGGGAGAAGAAUGGUCUCAGUUUGGUUAAGAGUGUGCGGAGAUCCUCGCCUCUCUUCUCUUCGGUGAGACGGUCGCAGAGGUUAGUGAUGGCUUGCUCCUUGAUCCGCAGAGCCUCUGGAGAUGAAGAAGGGUCUUCCAAGACUUGGUAGAGUAUCUGAAUAGCCUCAGAGCUGUUGGCUUCUUGGGCCAGGGAAAGCGUCU